rnacentral:rRNA from 1 species
AUUGAACGCUGGCGGCAGGCCUAACACAUGCAAGUCGAACGAGAGGCGGACGGGGGUGUAUUGUAUGGGGACUCCUCCCUAUAGGGGGAUAACAACUGGAAACGGUAGCUAAUACCGCAUCCUAUCUGCUAUCCCCUAUGGGAUUAGCUAGUGGGGGGGGUAAUGGCUCACCUAGGCGACGAUCCCUAGCUGGUCUGAGAGGAUGAUCAGCCACACUGGGACUGAGACACGGCCCAGACUCCUAGGGAGGCAGCAGUGGGGAAUAUUGCACAAUGGGCGAAAGCCUGAUGCAGCCAUGCCGCGUGUAUGAAGAAGGCCCUAGGGUUGUAAAGUACUUUCAGUCGGGAGGCGUUACCGGCAGAAGAAGCACCGGCUAACUCCGUGCCAGCAGCCGCGGUAAUUC